rnacentral:lncRNA from 1 species
GUGACGCCAUAGGAAUCUUCCUUCUCCUUCUGCAAGUGGCUCUUACCGAAUACAUGUGUGACUAGCGCUCUGUCUGUUAACACGUCCUAUCCCAUGGGGAAGAGAGGAGCUAGAAGGCUGCUGGGGCAGUAGUGCUGGGGUGGGCCUCUCUGAGAUAGUUUGCUGCUGUAACCAAGAGCAUUUACUCUGUUGGGCAAAAUCAUGUUUCAGGUUCUGAGCCCUCAGUUUGCAGUCAGCUUUUGGAAGGCAGCUCAUUGUAUUGGCUGUAUACUGAUAGCUCAUUGGCUGUUUGCUAUCAGUCCAUAGUUUUAAUUUCAUCCCCAGCAUUCUCAGUGUUGGUAUUUUGGUAUCUGCCCAAAAGCAUUAAUUUCAGAAAUUCUCACCAAAAUUUGCCAGUGUAUGUUAUUUUCACAAUGAUGAAGAACUGAGGCUCAGAGAGCUGUGACCGUACACACUUGCAUCCCAUGUGGUGUUAGGCGCAGGGGCCAGGCCUGGCUCUGCUCACAUUGAACAGGGAUGGUCUCCUUGCUUUUUCUGACUACUUUUUGUUUUAAGUCUGAAGGUCAAUUUUAUCAUUUUGAUCUCUGUAUGAGAAUAUGUAAACAUGCUUUCCUAUGGUUAAACAUUUAGUAAAGUUUAGUAAAGGAAAGUUUUUGGUGACAAUAUUUAAAUGCAUUUAAACACAAUAGAGAACAUUUAAAUAAAUACUUAAUAAACUAAGAAAAGGAUUUUGUGACAGUAGUUAAAAACAAGAAAAUUUAUGUUUAGUCAUGAUUUUAAGACAAGGGGGAACUAAAAGGCAUCCUCUUUUAUUGAGAGCAUACGAUGUGCUUAUGAUUUAUGUUGUAGUUUUGUUUUUAUUUUUAAAAAAUUUGGUCCAAUUUCAUGAUCAGUAAUUUGAAUGUAAGUAACUCCUUUUGUUCCCAGAGAAUUUAGAUUCACGGCAGAAGUUCCCAUCCGGCUUGACUACCACGGCAAGCACGUGUCGAUGGAUCAGGUGUGGAGACUGCAUGCAUGCACAGUACACAGUUGUCUUUAAAACAUUACAUUGACUUAUUGUAGAGGGAGCGAGUGUGUGAGGCAGGGAGCACUUAUGUGGAGGACGGAAUGAGAGCGGAUUCUCUCCUACACUGUGCAGGGCCCGGGGAUUGAGCUCAGGCCGCCGGGCUUGGUGCCGAGCACCUGCACUUGCUUUUAAAGUAAACACUAAGUACUGGGAGUGGCUUUCAUACAUGUCAGCAGUUAGCUGAUAUGAUGGGUUGCACCAUAUAAAAUAUAUUUUUCUGUAAAUGUUUUAAGUGUUUCUCUUCAUUAAAGAAUGUUGCUUAAACUUUCCCUAGCAACAGCUGUGUUAAAUGUUGAGUCACUCCUUGUUUUAUGGACUGAUUGGCCAUUCUUCCUGUUUUAGGGUACAUUGGCUGGGAUUUUGAUUGGCCUGGCCCAGUUGAACUGUUCGGAGCUAAAGCUGAAAAGGCUUUUCUAUCGGCAUGGGUGAGUAGACGGAGCUGCUGAGGCGUGAAGGUGAGGGCACUAAAGCUAGUGUAGAGAAGAGCAGAGUUUCUCACAGGCAAGAUGCUCAUUUGUGAGUCUGUGGCACGCUCAGCCCGGAGCAUCGUCCUGCCCAGGGCUGGUGUUUGCUUGUGACUGGAACAGAGCGGUAUUCCUUGAAAGUGUCUGCAGUUCAGGAUACUUUACGGUAACUUACUGAAGUGUAAAUUAGCUUACUCAGCAUGCAGGCACACAGAUUUGGUUGUGAUUGGUCGGACUCUGUGCUGAGCCUUGGACCAUGGAGGGAGAAGCACAAUGGGAGACAGUCCUGCAUGUCCAUAUUCCAAACUUGAUAGGUCGCUCUCCGCCUGCUGUGUCUGUGUUAUCUGUAGCACCCAACAGUCUUCUGACUGACUCACACAAAGGUUAGGAAGGGAAGUUAGUAGCUGAUCUGCAUUUCUCUGUGAGAUAGAAACACUCAGCCAUUUUGGAGCAUCUGUAUGUAGCACUUGUAAUAUGUAGUUUCUAAAUGGGAAAGUCCUGACUUACAGAUGUACCUUUAUUUCUUCUUUGCACUGACGGUCAUUUGCUCUAGUUUGCUAGGUAUUGACAAAUUGUUCUCAUAUGCAAUCUCGGAAUGGCUCAGUGACAUUAAGAAGAACCAGCUACCAGGAAUCCUGGGAGGUGUUGGCCCUAUGCAUUCACUAGUUCAAUUAGGUAGGUUGCCUUGAGAGUCUGUGUGAAGAACAUUUUUCUAUGAAACCUACCUGCAUACUAACGUGCACAUAAAAGCUUGCCUCUAGUUUCACGGUCAGAACCUCCAUCAGCAUUAGACCAUGUGUGUGUGUGCGUGCGUGUGUGUGUGCGUGUGUGUGUGCACGUGUGUACGUGCGCAUGUGCUUUUUAUGAUGGUUUUACAUUGCAAUGAAAAUAUUCUCGAUAUACCUGAUACAGAAAUAUUAAAAUAGAGUUACCCACUCUCCCACCCCCAACUUUAUUUUAUUUAACUUUUUGAAAUGACUAUUAGAACACGUUCAAUCACACAGAUGGCCCAGCCUGUGUUUCUGUUGGGAAGCUGGGCUCUGGAGACCUCGGUGAGAAUG